rnacentral:tRNA from 1 species
GUGGGUGUAGCUCAGCUGGUAGAGCAUCGGAUUGUGGCUCCGGUGGUCGUGGGUUCAAAUCCCAUCACUCACCCCA